CAGUAGCCGCGGUAAUACGUAGGGUGCGAGCGUUAAUCGGAAUUACUGGGCGUAAAGCGUGCGCAGGCGGUUAUAUAAGACAGAUGUGAAAUCCCCGGGCUCAACCUGGGACCUGCAUUUGUGACUGUAUAGCUAGAGUACGGUAGAGGGGGAUGGAAUUCCGCGUGUAGCAGUGAAAUGCGUAGAUAUGCGGAGGAACACCGAUGGCGAAGGCAAUCCCCCGGACCUGUACUGACGCUCAUGCACGAAAGCGUGGGGAGCAAACAGGAUUAGAUACCCGUGUAGUCCCUGUCUCUUAUAC
rnacentral:rRNA from 1 species